UAUCUGAAGGUGUAAGAAGCACGUAAAUUUUUGAUAUUUGAGGGGAUAGUUUAAUUCUAUUUCAGAUAA
rnacentral:tRNA from 1 species